GAUGAACGCUGGCGGCGUGCCUAAUACAUGCAAGUCGAGCGAACGGACGAGAAGCUUGCUUUUCUGAUGUUAGCGGCGGACGGGUGAGUAACACGUGGAUAACCUACCUAUAAGACUGGGAUAACUUCGGGAAACCGGAGCUAAUACCGGAUAAUAUUUUGAACCGCAUGGUUCAAAAGUGAAAGACGGUCUUGCUGUCACUUAUAGAUGGAUCUGCGCUGCAUUAGCUAGUUGGUAAGGUAACGGCUUACCAAGGCAACGAUGCAUAGCCGACCUGAGAGGGUGAUCGGCCACACUGGAACUGAGACACGGUCCAGACUCCUACGGGAGGCAGCAGUAGGGAAUCUUCCGCAAUGGGCGAAAGCCUGACGGAGCAACGCCGCGUGAGUGAUGAAGGUCUUCGGAUCGUAAAACUCUGUUAUUAGGGAAGAACAUAUGUGUAAGUAACUGUGCACAUCUUGACGGUACCUAAUCAGAAAGCCACGGCUAACUACGU
rnacentral:rRNA from 1 species